AAAACAUGUCUUUUUGAUAAAAAUUUAAAGUCAGGUCUGCUCACUGAAUUAUUUUAAAGAGCCGCAGUAUAUUGACUGUGCAAAGGUAGCAUAAUCAAUAGUUUCUUAAUUGGGAACUAGAAUGAAAGAUUAGACGAAAAAUUAAUUUUCUUUGUUUUAAUAAAUUUAAUUUUAAAUUUAAGUGAAAAUGCUUAAAUACAAUUAAAAGACGAGAAGACCCUAUAGAUUUUUAUUAUUGAAAUAAAUUUUUAAAUUUAAUUUAAUAAGAUAAUUUAAUUGGGGCGAUUUUAUAAUAUAAAUAACUUAAUUUUUUUAAACCAUAAAUAAUUGAAUAUUUGAUCUAAAAUUUUUAAAGAAAAGAUUAAAUUACCUUAGGGAUAACAGCGUAAUUUUAUUUAAGAGUUCAUAUCUAUAAUAAAGUUUGCGACCUCGAUGUUGAAUUAAGAUAAUAUAUUGGAGUAGAAAUUAAUAUAAUUAGUCUGUUCGACUAUUAAAUUCUUACGUGAUCU
rnacentral:rRNA from 1 species